GACCUCGAACUGGUAACCGACCACCGCAACGGAGUCUCCAACUGGCAAUCCCUGCACAAAUACACGACCGACGCUGAGAUCUCAUUGAUGAGGUAUCGUGUGAGCGUUGAAAUUAUCAACAAUGGAGGAUAACCUCUCAAGAAUCACAGCAGCUUCAAGAGCAUGAAUCGACCAAGCUUUCUUGAGCUCUUUUGAGGCAGCGCAGAUCGAUGAACCAGCGGAGUAAUGAACCACGAUCGAGCGAAACGUUCCAAGAAGCAUCCAUAUUGAGCUUCCAGACGUUUUCUGGCGGAGGAGACCUACGAACAGACUCGGUGGGAUCUCUCUCGAAACUGACUUCAGGUUGCAUGUAGAAUCAUUCAAGCUCGACAUGAUCAAUUUUG